GUGAGUCAUCGAAUCUUUGAACGCACAUUGCGCCCGCUAGUAUUCUGGCGGGCAUGCCUGUCCGAGCGUCAUUUCAACCCUCAAGCCCCUCCGGGAGGCCUGGCGUUGGGGAUCGGCCCCGCUCCGGCGGCCGGCCCCGAAAUGUAGUGGCGGUCUCGCCGCUGCCUCCUCUGCGUAGUAGAAACACCUCGCAUUGGGACGCGGCGGGCCCACGCCGUUAACCAGACGAAUUUUUUCAAGGUUGACCUCGGAUCAGGUAGGAAUACCCGCUGAACUUAAGCAUAUCAAUAAGCGGAGGA
rnacentral:misc_RNA from 1 species